rnacentral:rRNA from 1 species
GACGAACGCUGGCGGCGUGCCUAAUACUUGCAAGUCGAACGAGAGCGACCGGUGCUUGCACUGGUCAAUCUAGUGGCGAACGGGUGAGUAACACGUGGGUAACCUGCCCAUCAGAGGGGGAUAACAUCCGGAAACGGAUGCUAAAACCGCAUAGGUCUUCGAACCGCAUGGUUUGAAGAGGAAAAGAGGCGCAAGCUUCUGCUGAUGGAUGGACCCGCGGUGCAUUAGCUAGUUGGUGAGGUAACGGCUCACCAAGGCCGUGAUGCAUAGCCGACCUGAGAGGGUGAUCGGCCACAUUGGGACUGAGACACGGCCCAAACUCCUACGGGAGGCAGCAGUAGGGAAUCUUCCGCAAUGGACGCAAGUCUGACGGAGCAACGCCGCGUGAGUGAAGAAGGUGUUCGGAUCGUAAAACUCUGUUGUUAGAGAAGAACAAGUGCUAGAGUAACUGUUAGCGCCUUGACGGUAUCUAACCAGAAGGCCACGGCUAACUACGUG